GCUAAAAAUCUAGCCCACUAGAACUCACAUGAACCCACCCAUUUUAUGUAACAAACUAAAACAUUCUAGCCAUUUAGUAAAGGAGAUUGAAAAACUAACUGGAGCAAUAAAAAUAGUACCGCAAGGGAAAAAUGAAAUAAAAAUGAAAAACCUCAAGCACGAAAAAGUAGAGAUUCCCUCUCGUACCUUUUGCAUCAUGGUCUAACUAGUCUAAUCAAGCAUAAAGAAUUAUAGUCUGACCCCCCGAAACUAAGCGAGCUACUUCAGGGCAGCUUUAUGAGCGAACCCGUCUCUGUUGCAAAAGGGUGGGACGACCCUCAAGUAGAGGUGAUAAACCUAACGAGCCUAGUGAUAGCUGGUUACUCAAGAAAAGGAUUUUAGUCCAACCUAAAGCUUUAACUUAUUUGCAAAAAUUUUCCUUAGGCUUUAGAGCAAUUCAAAUAAGGUACAGCCUAUUUGAAACAGGAUACAACCUCAAUUGAUGGGUAAUAAACCUUCUUGCUCAACUAAGUAGGCCUAAAAGCAGCCACCUUUAAAAAAGCGUCAAAGCUUGAUUGAAAAAUCAAAUUAAUUCCUCUAAUCUCUUCUAACCCUCUCUUUAUAUUGAGUAAUUCUAUACCCCUAUAGAACAUAUUAUGUUAAAACUAGUAACAAGAAGCUAAACCUUCUCUUAAGUGUAUGUGUACACCAGAUAGGAUAAACCACUGGUAAUUAACGUUCAUGAAACCACAUUAGUAACUUUUUCCCAAGAAAACCCUAAUUACCCUCCACGUUAACCUGACACAAGAACACCACAAGAAAGAUUAAAAGAAAAAGAAGGAACUCGGCAAAUUUUAACCCCGCCUGUUUACCAAAAACAUCGCCUCUUGAAUAAAAAUAAGAGGUCUAGCCUGCCCAGUGACCACAGUUCAACGGCCGCGGUAUCCUAACCGUGCGAAGGUAGCGUAAUCACUUGUUCUUUAAAUGAGGACUAGUAUGAAUGGCAUCACGAGGGUUAUACUGUCUCCUUUUUCCAAUCAGUGAAACUAUUCUCCCCGUGAAGAAACGGGGAUACUUUUAUAAGACGAGAAGACCCUAUGGAGCUUUAAAUUUUAUUCCAAUUGCUUACUUAUACAGCCUGUACCAACUUCUUAUACUCAACUAAGCAUAAUGCUAAUAAAUUUUAGGUUGGGGUGACCGCGGAGCAUAAAAAAACCUCCGCACAGAGCAAGCCUUAAGCCUUGAACAAAGAGCUACAACUCCAAGUACUAACACAUUAACAUCCAUUGACCCAAUACCCUUGAUCAACGAACCAAGUUACCCUAGGGAUAACAGCGCAAUCUACUUUAAGAGCUCCUAUCGACAAGUAGGUUUACGACCUCGAUGUUGGAUCAGGGUAUCCCAGUGGUGCAGCCGCUACUAAAGGUUCGUUUGUUCAACGAUUAAAACCCU
rnacentral:rRNA from 1 species